rnacentral:tRNA from 1 species
GCGGAAGUGGUGAAAUGGUAGACACGUCGGUUUCAGGUGCCGGUGAUUGCGAAAUCGUGGGGGUUCAAGUCCCUUCUUCCGCA